GCCGGAGUGGCGGAAUAGGCAGACGCAAGGGACUUAAAAUCCCUCGGGCUCAUAAGGCCCGUACCGGUUCGAUCCCGGUCUCCGGCACCA
rnacentral:tRNA from 1 species